AGAACGAACGCUGGCGGCAGGCUUAACACAUGCAAGUCGAGCGCCCAGCAAUGGGAGCGGCGGACGGGUGAGUAACACGUGGGAACAUGCCUUUCGGUUCGGCACAACUCAGGGAAACUUGAGCUAAUUCCGGAUACGCCCUAACGGGGAAAGAUUUAUCGCCGAAAGAUUGGCCCGCGUAGGAUUAGCUUGUUGGUGAGGUAAUGGCUCACCAAGGCAACGAUCCUUAGCUGGUUUGAGAGAACGACCAGCCACACUGGGACUGAGACACGGCCCAGACUCCUACGGGAGGCAGCAGUGGGGAAUCUUGGACAAUGGGGAAACCCUGAUCCAGCCAUGCCGCGUGAGUGAUGAAGGCCUUCGGGUUGUAAACUCUUUUACCCGGGAAGAUAAUGACUGUACCGGGAGAAUAAGCUCCGGCUAACUUCGUGCCAGCAGCCGC
rnacentral:rRNA from 1 species